rnacentral:rRNA from 1 species
UACGUAGGGACCAAGCGUUGUUCGGAUUUACUGGGCGUAAAGGGCGCGUAGGCGGCUUGACAAGUCACUUGUGAAAUCUCCGGGCUUAACUCGGAACGGCCAAGUGAAACUGUCAUGCUAGAGUGCAGAAGGGGCAAUCGGAAUUCUUGGUGUAGCGGUGAAAUGCGUAGAUAUCAAGAGGAACACCAGAGGUGAAGACGGGUUGCUGGGCUGACACUGACGCUGAGGCGCGAAAGCCAGGGGAGCAAACGGG